rnacentral:rRNA from 1 species
AACGAACGCUGGCGGCAUGCCUAACACAUGCAAGUCGAACGAGAUCUUCGGGUCUAGUGGCGCACGGGUGCGUAACGCGUGGGAAUCUGCCCUUUGGUUCGGAAUAACAGUUGGAAACGACUGCUAAUACCGGAUGAUGACGAAAGUCCAAAGAUUUAUCGCCAGAGGAUGAGCCCGCGUAGGAUUAGCUAGUUGGGGUGGUAAAGGCGCACCAAGGCGACGAUCCUUAGCUGGUCUGAGAGGAUGAUCAGCCACACUGGGACUGAGACACGGCCCAGACUCCUACGGGAGGCAGCAGUGGGGAAUAUUGGACAAUGGGCGAAAGCCUGAUCCAGCAACGCCGCGUGAGUGAUGAAGGCCUUAGGGUUGUAAAGCUCUUUUACCCGGGAUGAUAAUGACAGUACCGGGAGAAUAAGCUCCGGCUAACUCCGUGCCAGCAGCCGCCGUAA